AUUCUUUUCGGCUCGGAGGUGGGUGGGCAGCAAUGGACCAAUGAUGUAUUGGCCACAGGGGCACGGGUUGCCAACGAGGAUCAAAAAUUUAACGACCUCCGCUUGGAGCAAAGGUGUGAUUCCCUCCGGGGAUGAGUCUAUGUCCUAUUAGCUUGUUGGCGGGGUAACGGCCCACCAAGGCAACGAUCAGUAGCCGGACUGAGAGGUUGAACGGCCACAUUGGGACUGAGAUACGGCCCAGACUCCUACGGGAGGCAGCAGUCGGGAAUAUUGCGCAAUGGAGGAAACUCUGACGCAGUGACGCCGCGUAUAGGAAGAAGGUUUUCGGAUUGUAAACUAUUGUCGUUAGGGAAGAAAAAAGACAGUACCUAAGGAGGAAGCUCCGGCUAACUACGUGCCAGCAGCCGCGGUAAUACGUAGGGAGCAAGCGUUAUCCGGAAUUAUUGGGUGUAAAGGGUGCGUAGACGGGAAUUUAAGUUAGUUGUGAAAGCCCUCGGCUUAACUGAGGAACAGCAACUGAAACUGGAUUUCUUGAGUGCAGGAGAGGAAAGUGGAAUUCCUAGUGUAGCGGUGAAAUGCGUAGAUAUUAGGAGGAACACCAGUGGCGAAGGCGGCUUUCUGGACUGUAACUGACGUUGAAGCACGAAAGUGUGGGGAGCAAACAGGAUUAGAUACCCUGGUAGUCCACACUGUAAACGAUGGAUACUAGGUGUAGGGGAUUAUAUGUCUUCUGUGCCGAAAGCAAACGCAAUAAGUAUCCCACCUGGGGAGUACGGCCGCAAGGCUGAAACUCAAAGGAAUUGACGGGGGCCCGCACAAGCAGUGGAUCAUGUGGUUUAAUUCGAAGCAACGCGAAGAACCUUACCAGGCCUUGACAUCCCCUGAGUAGCAUGGAGACAUGUGAUGCCUUUCGGGGCAGGGAGACAGGUGGUGCAUGGUUGUCGUCAGCUCGUGUCGUGAGAUGUUGGGUUAAGUCCCGCAACGAGCGCAACCCCUAUUGUUAGUUGCCAGCACGUAAAGGUGGGAACUCUAGCAAGACUGCCGGUGAGAAAUCGGAGGAAGGUGGGGAUGACGUCAAAUCAUCAUGCCCUUUAUGGCCUGGGCUACACACGUGAUACAAUGGCGCUAAAACAGAGGGAAGCAAAACCGCGAGGUCAAGCGAAUCCCGAAAAAGCGUCUCAGUUCGGAUCGCAGGCUGCAACCCGCCUGCGUGAAGUCGGAAUUGCUAGUAAUCGCGGAUCAGCAUGCCGCGGUGAAUACGUUCCCGGGCCUUGUACCCACCGCCCGUCACACCAUGAGAGUCAGAAACACCCGAAGCCUGUGAGCCAACCGCAAGGAGG
rnacentral:rRNA from 1 species